CUCUCUCUCUCUGUCAAAAAUAAACAUUAAAAAAAAUUUUUUUUAAGUGGCAAGCAAUUAGAUUUUAUUCCUUCUUGUAAAACUUAUUCAGAAAAGGCAGUACAUUUUAUAUAUGGGAAAACAUGCAUAGUCAUUUUAAUUAUACCAUAUUCAGGAAUCCCACCCGGUGCCUCCUUUUGCACCAUCCCAGGAACCUAAUUAGCUUUCUGGUUAUGACUUCAUCUUGCUGCCACACUUGGAAUGACCACCAUUCAAACACAAUCAUACUGACAUGUAACAUGCUGCACUGUGACAUGGUCAGUGCCAUGUGGCAGCGCUUUCGGCCAAGUCUGACAUGUGCUGCCUCCUCUGGCUGACUGGUAUCUGAACCUGACAGAGGCUGUACAAAACCUUUCUGCUACCUGUUCAGGAGGCAGUGCAUGCCAGGGGCCCAAAUCAUUCUGCUUUCUUAAUCCUGUAUUCCCUUAGUAUAUGGAAAGAAACAGGAGAGUCUUCCCGACCUGGACCUGGGCAAAACUGUCAACCAUUCAAGAGAAACUUACAGCCAAAAAGAAGCAUGGCAUGGAAUUCCUCUGGACUAACCUUCACUUGCAAACUGAAGACCCAUGCUCUAAGUAGUGGAUGAGGCUUUGACAAGGCCACUCAGCUAGAGAGCAGGAAACGCUGGUGGGGGCGCAACUAGGACAGCACACUCUGCCAAAGCUGCAUCAUCAACCAACUGGGUGGGUUGCCCUAGAAAUCCUCCUUCUAGUUCCUGCCCCCCACACAGCUCCAGCUCGUUCUCUGGUUACUGCCCCUCUGCCCCAUCUCUGGCAUCUCUCUGGUCUGGUCGGUGCCAACUGUUUCUCUUGGUAUAUGCUAUCAGCUGGGAUCUGGUCAAGAGAAUAGUUAUGCUAGCCACAACUAAUGAUUAAUUCCUGGCAUCAUGUAACAAGCUGUGGAAGAAACUGAAAAUCCAGUCAUAAAAAAAGGACUCCAAAGGGCAGGAAUGUCACAUCAAAAUUUCCUAAGCGUAAGUAACUGCCCUCUCCCCAACCAAAAACUUCUUAGGUCUGUGGGAAGAAGAGAUGAAACAAAGAUGGCCUUUUUACAAGAUCAGAAAAUUCCCAAGCUAGAACAUACAGUGUCAGGGCAAUCAGAGUCUGAAGAGUCAAUCAUUUUUAUUUUUUUAAGCACUUUCUUGGAUGUUUUAUGAUUUGAAUGAUUCUGUUGUGAGUGUAAAAUAAUUGGCUUUUCCAUUUAAAAAAGCAAUAAUGUGUUUCUAGUAAAAAUGCUAGAUUAAAAAUACUCUCUUGUUAUAUGCCAAUAUUUUUUUCAUUUUUAUGUUUGCUAAUGUCUCCAGGCAGAUAGAAACAUCAGAUAAGCUAGAAGUGAAUUUCAAUAUAAAAAUUAUUCGUUGUACGUGAGUCAACAAUAUUCCCCACAGAAAGCUCUGCCGAGUGCUAUCAAUCUAAAACAUAUUGCUCUAUCAAGCCAUGCAUCAUCCAGGGAGAGUUAUAAAAUAAAAUCUUUCUUGAUUUCUUUA